rnacentral:rRNA from 1 species
ACAACUGAGGGAAACUUCAGCUAAAACCGGAUACGCCCUGAGGGGGAAAGUUACGCCGAAAGAUCGGCCCGCGUCAGAUUAGGUAGUUGGUGGGGUAAAGGCCUACCAAGCCGAUGAUCUGUAGGUGGUCUGAGAGGAUGAUCACCCACACUGGGACUGAGACACGGCCCAGACUCCUACGGGAGGCAGCAGUGGGGAAUAUUGGACAAUGGGCGCAAGCCUGAUCCAGCCAUGCCGCGUGGAUGAAGAAGGCCCUAGGGUUGUAAAGUCCUUUCGACGGAGACGAUAAUGACGGUAUCCGUAGAAGAAGCCCCGGCUAAUUUCGUGCCAGCAGCCGCGGUAAUACGGGGGGAACGAGCGUUGUUCGGAUUUACUGGGCGUAAAGGGCACGCAGGCGGGAAGACAAGUCAGAUGUGAAACCCCGAAGCUUAACUCCGGGCCUGCAUUUGAAACUGUUUUUCUUGAGUACGGGAGAGGAUGAUAGAAUUCUUGGUGUAGCGGUGAAAUGCGUAGAUAUCAAGAGGAAUACCGGUGGCGAAGGCGGUCAUCUGGCCCGAUACUGACGCUCAGGUGCGAAGGCCGGGGGAGCAAACAGGAUUAGAUACCCUGGUAGUCCCGGCAGUAAACCAUGGAUACUAGGUGUUGGCGGUAUCGACUCCGCCAGUGCCGCAGCUAACGCAUUAAGUAUCCCGCCUGGGGAGUACGCUCGCAAGAGUGAACUCAAAGGAAUUGACGGGGGCCCGCACAAGCAGUGGAGUAUGUGGUUUAAUUCGACGCAACGCGAAGAACCUUACCUGGGUUUGACAUGCAGGGGACCGCUUCAGAGAUG